CGUGUAGGCGGUCAGAUAAGUCUGGUGUGAAAGCCCUUGGCUUAACCAAGGAAUGUCGCUGGAAACUGUCUGGCUUGAGUACGAGAGAGGAGAGUGGAAUUCCCGGUGUAGAGGUGAAAUUCGUAGAUAUCGGGAGGAACACCAGUGGCGAAGGCGGCUCUCUGGAUCGAUACUGACGCUGAUACGCGAAAGCGUGGGGAGCAAACAGGAUUAGAUACCCUGGUAGUCCACGCUGUAAACGUUGGGCACUAGGUGUAGGAGGUAUUGACCCCUUCUGUGCCGAAGCUAACGCAUUAAGUGUCCCGCCUGGGGACUACGGCCGCAAGGUUAAAA
rnacentral:rRNA from 1 species